rnacentral:rRNA from 1 species
CACUAUGCCUAGCCCUAAACAACGAUACCAUUAUACACCCCCUAUCCGCCCGGGUACUACGAGCAUCAGCUUAAAACCCAAAGGACUUGGCGGUGCUUUAAAACCAUCUAGAGGAGCCUGUUCUAGAACCGAUAACCCCCGUUAAACCUCACCCCUUCUUGUUUAAUCCGCCUAUAUACCACCGUCGUCAGCCUACCCUGUGAAGGACUAAUAGUAGGCAAAGUUGGCACAGCCCAAAACGUCAGGUCGAGGUGUAGCGUAUGGAGGGGGAAGAAAUGGGCUACAUUCUCUACUCAGAGAACCACGAAUGACACACUGAAACAUGUGUCUGAAGGAGGAUUUAGCAGUAAGCAAAGAAACAGAGUGUCUUGCUGAAACCGGCCAUGAAGCGCGCACACACCGCCCGUCACUCUCCCCAAAUCUAACUAACUAAUAAUUAAUACACCACCACAAACAAAGGGGAGGCAAGUCGUAA